rnacentral:sRNA from 1 species
CGUAAAAAUAACCAAAAACAC